ACCAAUGAGGCAGAGGCAAUAUCGUAACCAAUGAGGUUAAUCCGAGGUGCGAUUAUUGCUAGUUGAAAACUUUACCAAACAUAUAAUACCUAAAUAUUGUCUACAAUGUCGAGUUGUAUGUUUAGGAAGUGUAAAAACUAUUUAUACA
rnacentral:snRNA from 1 species